CCUUGUUCAUCAAACCCCAGACACCUGAGCUGGUCCCUGUUUUGAGAGUGUGAAGGAAGCACUUGAGGAUAGACCAGGGAAGACCUGUGACAAGAAGAUAGCUUGGACAAACUGGAGGUCAGCAGACCCGAGAGACAUCAAGUGAGAGAUGCAGGUGUGGGAUCAGCCCACUUGUUUGUAUCAUUGUUUGCCUGUCUUCUUUUCCAUCAGAUGCAAGUGCCAAGAGGGUGAGACUACAAUGAGGAGGCAGCCAUCUACAGGCCAGGAAGAGAACCCUCACCAGACACCAAAGCUGCUGGCACUUUGA